UGGGGAAUAUUGGACAAUGGGCGAAAGCCUGAUCCAGCCAUGCCGCGUGUGUGAAGAAGGUCUUCGGAUUGUAAAGCACUUUAAGUUGGGAGGAAGGGCAGUAAGCGAAUACCUUGCUGUUUUGACGUUACCGACAGAAUAAGCACCGGCUAACUCUGUGCCAGCAGCCGCGGUAAUACAGAGGGUGCAAGCGUUAAUCGGAAUUACUGGGCGUAAAGCGCGCGUAGGUGGUUCGUUAAGUUGAAUGUGAAAGCCCCGGGCUCAACCUGGGAACUGCAGCCAAAACUUGCGAGCUAGAGUAGGGCAGAGGGUGGUGGAAUUUCCUGUGUAGCGGUGAAAUGCGUAGAUAUAGGAAGGAACACCAGUGGCGAAGGCGACCACCUGGGCUCAUACUGACACUGGGGUGCGAAAGCGUGGGGAGCAAACAGG
rnacentral:rRNA from 1 species